GACUUCGUAGCUCAGUGGUUAGAGCAUGCGAUUGCAGCGUAGCAGCAAUAUCGCAGGGUCACGUGUUCGAAUCACGUCGAGGUCU